GGUUGGAGUGCAGGGUAUUCUUUCAUUGUUCAAACUGAGCAUGGAGAAAAGGCCUUCACAAGCCUCUGCUAUUGUGUACAUAGUUUAUACUAAGUGACCCAUAGGUUGAGGAGGCGGUGACCGUGGCGGAGGAGGUGAAAGCCAACACUGGUUUUUUGUUUGUUUUUUUAAUUGGGGUAGCCCCCAAAAUAUUGGGACAUGUAACAAAAGAAACAUUUGCGGCCUGCGGUGCAUUU